rnacentral:rRNA from 1 species
AGUGAACGCUGGCGGCGUGCCUAAUACAUGCAAGUCGAACGAGUGGCGGACGGGUGAGUAAUGCUUGGGAAUCUAGCUUAUGGAGGGGGAUAACUACGGGAAACUGUAGCUAAUACCGCGUACCAUAGGAUGAGCCCACGUGGGAUUAGGUAGUUGGUGAGGUAAAGGCUCACCAAGCCGACGAUCUCUAGCUGGUCUGAGAGGAUGACCAGCCACACUGGGACUGAGACACGGCCCAGACUCCUACGGGAGGCAGCAGUGGGGAAUAUUGCACAAUGGGCGCAAGCCUGAUGCAGCCAUGCCGCGUGUGUGAAGAAGGCCUUCGGGUUGUAAAGCACUUUCAGCGGGGAGGCGUUACCCGCAGAAGAAGCACCGGCUAACUCCGUGCCAGCAGCCGCGGUAAUAC